AAGUCGUAACAAGGUUUCCGUAGGUGAACCUGCGGAAGGAUCAUUACAGAAUUGAAAUCGACCGACCCUGUUGAAGCGUGGGCUGGUCUCGAGCGAGUGAGUGAGCGAGCCUGUUUGCUAGCUUGCUAGCUUGCUUGCUGUCUUGCUUGCUCGAGACAAGCAAAAACAAAACAAAACAAUUGAUGAAUGUACCAGUGAAUAUGAAAAAAAGAAAAACAACUUUUAACAAUGGAUCUCUUGGCUCUU
rnacentral:misc_RNA from 1 species